rnacentral:rRNA from 1 species
CGAAGGGGGCGAGCGUUGUUCGGAUUUACUGGGCGUAAAGGGCGCGUAGGCGGCCAUCUUUGUCAGGCGUGAAAGCCCCGGGCUCAACCUGGGAACUGCGUCUGGGACGGGGUGGCUAGAGAUCGGGAGAGGGAGCGUGGAAUUCCCAGUGUAGAGGUGAAAUUCGUAGAUAUUGGGAAGAACACCGGUGGCGAAGGCGGCGCUCUGGACCAAGACUGACGCUGAGGCGCGAAAGCGUGGGGAGCAAACAGGAUUAGAUACCCUGGUAGUCCACGCUGUAAACGAUGUGUGCUAGACGUUGGGGAGCCUAGCUCUUCGGUGUCGCAGCUAACGCUUUAAGCACACCGCCUGGGGAGUACGGCCGCAAGGUUA